GGGCCCGUAGUCUAGUGGUAAGGUACCUGCACACUAAGCGGGAGAUGCAAGUUUGAUUCUUGCCAGGCCUA
rnacentral:tRNA from 1 species